rnacentral:lncRNA from 1 species
ACCCCGUACAACCCAAACUGUUAACCUUCAAUACUGCUUUGUACUUACGAUCUUGUAUCCACUGACUGUCUUGUUAGAUUAACCCAAUAAAUUUCAUUCACUCCGCAUACUCAAUCCUAUAGACACCCUUUAAUCCUUCAAUCACAGACGUAACUCGAUUUCACAAAACAGUCAAGAGUAUUCAAACCCACUUCAUUUAAAAAUCCCGAUUCACCAUUACAACAUUGACUUCAGCAGCGAUUGCCUCAGUCUUCCCCAAAACUCUACGAAGAAGAAAAAUCCAAAU